GACGAACGCUGGCGGCGUGCCUAAUACAUGCAAGUAGAACGCUGAAGAGAGGAGCUUGCUCUUCUUGGAUGAGUUGCGAACGGGUGAGUAACGCGUAGGUAACCUGCCUUGUAGCGGGGGAUAACUAUUGGAAACGAUAGCUAAUACCGCAUAACAAUGGAUGACACAUGUCAUUUAUUUGACAGGGGCAAUUGCUCCACUACAAGAUGGACCUGCGUUGUAUUAGCUAGUAGGUGAGGUAACGGCUCACCUAGGCGACGAUACAUAGCCGACCUGAGAGGGUGAUCGGCCACACUGGGACUGAGACACGGCCCAGACUCCUACGGGAGGCAGCAGUAGGGAAUCUUCGGCAAUGGGGGCAACCCUGACCGAGCAACGCCGCGUGAGUGAAGAAGGUUUUCGGAUCGUAAAGCUCUGUUGUAAGUCAAGAACGAGUGUGAGAGUGGAAAGUUCACACUGUGACGGUAGCUUACCAGAAAGGGACGGCUAACUACGUGCCAGCAGCCGCGGUAAUACGUAGGUCCCGAGCGUUGUCCGGAUUUAUUGGGCGUAAAGCGAGCGCAGGCGGUUUGAUAAGUCUGAAGUUAAGGCUGUGGCUCAACCAUAGUUCGCUUUGGAAACUGUCAAACUUGAGUGCAGAAGGGGAGAGUGGAAUUCCAUGUGUAGCGGUGAAAUGCGUAGAUAUAUGGAGGAACACCGGUGGCGAAAGCGGCUCUCUGGUCUGUAACUGACGCUGAGGCUCGAAAGCGUGGGGAGCGAACAGGAUUAGAUACCCUGGUAGUCCACGCCGUAAACGAUGAGUGCUAGGUGUUGGAUCCUUUCCGGGAUUCAGUGCCGCAGCUAACGCAUUAAGCACUCCGCCUGGGGAGUACGACCGCAAGGUUGAAACUCAAAGGAAUUGACGGGGGCCCGCACAAGCGGUGGAGCAUGUGGUUUAAUUCGAAGCAACGCGAAGAACCUUACCAGGUCUUGACAUCCCGAUGCUAUUUCUAGAGAUAGAAAGUUACUUCGGUACAUCGGUGACAGGUGGUGCAUGGUUGUCGUCAGCUCGUGUCGUGAGAUGUUGGGUUAAGUCCCGCAACGAGCGCAACCCCUAUUGUUAGUUGCCAUCAUUCAGUUGGGCACUCUAGCGAGACUGCCGGUAAUAAACCGGAGGAAGGUGGGGAUGACGUCAAAUCAUCAUGCCCCUUAUGACCUGGGCUACACACGUGCUACAAUGGUUGGUACAACGAGUUGCGAGUCGGUGACGGCAAGCUAAUCUCUUAAAGCCAAUCUCAGUUCGGAUUGUAGGCUGCAACUCGCCUACAUGAAGUCGGAAUCGCUAGUAAUCGCGGAUCAGCACGCCGCGGUGAAUACGUUCCCGGGCCU
rnacentral:rRNA from 1 species